CUAAAAAAUUAAAAUGAAUGGUAAUUUUUCUAUUCUUUACAAUUAAAAAUCAAAAGAAAUAGGAAAUAGGUACUACUAUUUACAGGUAAUAAUAUGCAUAAAUAAUUCGUUUCCUAAAGAAUACAGAAAAUUGAAAACGUUUUUAUAAUACUUACAUAAUUGUUUAAACAAAAGAGACCCAGCCAGAGCAAAACUAACAGACAGAACUGCAAAAAAGCCACUAAUUUCCAUUUUCCCACCCCCUUAUCUUAUAUGCAUUUUCCAAUCAAAAUUUUUAGGUUGUCAUGAACAUGAAAGACUCAACCUCAACAAAUAAUAAUAAACAAAAAGCUCUACAGCUCUACUUCCACUUCCCGCCAAAUGGACACAGGUUGGUGACACUGAAUUCACGCCAAAUAAAUGAAAAAAUAGAACAAUUUUCUUUUUCGUCAAUUUCUUCACGUGAAGUUUAUAACGAACAAACUUAGAUGUCAAAGUGUGCUUUUACACGUCAAAUUUGGCCUUGAAUAACUUGGUCAAUUUCUUGUCCAAUUUAUUGUUGAUGUAAAGUGGACUUUAGUAAGGCCCGGUCUUUUCACCUCCGAAUAAAUAGUUAACGGGAAGUUUAUCUGACAGAUAAAAAAAGUAGCGUCUUUUCACUCUGGAAUAAAGUUAUCCGGCAGAUAAAUUGACGUUAAGGCCCGGUCUUUUCACCUCCGGAUAAAUAUUUAACGGGAAGUUUAUCUGACAGAUAAAAAAAGUAGCGUCUUUUCACUCCGGAAUAAAGUUAUCCGGCAGAUAAAUUGACGUUAAAUAUCAAAUAUUUAACUGCCGAAUAAAGUACCGAAUAAAAAGUUAUCUGGAAGAUAAACUUUACUUUUUGUAUAUUUCAUGGUUUUUGGUUGCCACGAAACUAAAAAUGUAACCUAAAAUCUUGUAGACAUAUAAAAUCCGUAGGUUACCGCGAAAAGCGAAAAUAAAAAUAUAAUAAGUUUAUGUGUUUCGUUUAUUUGGUGGUUUAUUUUGUGUGUGUGAGAAAUAUGGAUCCUGUAUUGGAAGACCUAGAUUUAGGCCCGGUCUUUUCACCUCCGAAUAAAUAUGCUCUUAUCUGGCAGUUAGCUAUCUGGAGGAUAAAUAUUUAUUCGCCAGAUAAAAAGUACCCGUCUUUUCACGUCAAUUUAUGUUCCAGUUAGUUAUCCGGUAGAUAAGCUUAAAAGUAAGUUUGGAUUCCGAACACACCUGACUUUUAUGUUUAUUUUUAUAAUUUCAGCUUUAACUUAACCUAACAUAAUUAGAUUCAAAGUAUUUCAAAGAUAAUUUUAUCGAUUUUAUUUCCAUUUUGGAAGAAGGAAUGAAGGAAAUAAGGAAAACAUUGAUUAUGCUGAAAUAGUUUACUGGAGAGCUUGAACAAGAGGUAAAUCCAUUUUAAAUUAGAGGAAAACUGUUGAUUUGUAUGUAAAAUAGAAGACAAAGACAAGUUUAAAUAAAGACAAGCUAGCUAAUGAAACAGAUGCAGUGGUAAUUUUGUUUACAUAAUUAUAUAUGUACAUAUUAUAUGAUUAUUAAUAUUAGGUUUGUUCUAGCAAACAGUCAAACUAGUCAGAAACCGUCAGCAAUUAGUUGCUCAGUGAGACAACAUAAUACAGUCACCAGUGCUAUCCCCUAUCUACUCGCGCUGGUCGACUAUUCGCUGAUGGUUUCAAACCGUUUGAAACUGAUGCUAGAACAAACCUAAUGACUGUUCAAUGAUGUAAAAAUUUGUUAAUGUGGGGAAAACUUUUAUUUAAAUUCAAUACUAUAUUUCUGUAAAUAUCAUGCAAUAUGGCAAAACUUGAUGUUACGUCUGAAUUUAGCCAUAAUGAGAUUAUUUGCUUGAUAUGCUAUUUAGUAACAUUUCUUCAAGUUGGUAUAGUUUGGUAUGUGUAUGAUGAAGGUAAAACCCCCUUUGUCCCACAUGUCCCCUUUUAACUUACAGUAGAACCCUAAUUAUCCGUGCUAUGAUUUUCUAUUACUCAAGUUGCAUUUUUGAGGUUUUAUCAACAUAGCGUCAUUGUAAAUCACUUAACGGAAACUCUAUAUGACGAAAGAGAGACUCAUAAUGAAAGAUUUAUUUUUUCUGUUAUCUUUUUAUGGUAGGUACAUAAUAUUAUAAUAUGUAUGUGUAUACAUACUUAUUAUACAUAAGAAAUACAUGUUCGGAUUAUCAGUGCCACCUUCGGUCCCGAGGAGCACGGAUAAUCUGGAUUCUACUGUAUUAGGUAGGCCAGAACUUGAUAUAUUACUUGAUUUCUUAUGUUGAUUACUUUUCGUUUUUGGGUUGACAAAACAUGAUUUAAACUUUCAAAAUGCCCUCCUGAAAAAUUAGGCUAGAUGGACAUAUCAAUCAUUGUCAAAACGCUACAGAUUUAUAAUCCAUCCAACUGGUAUAUUGAAUAGUAAACUAGGGAUAAACCAACUAUGUAUAUCAAAACACAAUAUUUUAAAGAUUGGAUAAUUUACAUGGUAAAUUGAAGAAUCCCAAUAACAAGAAUAAAACCUAAUUUUAAUAUUUGUUAUGGGUCAUUCCACGAACAUACGCUUGUUUUGGAUUACUUCGACAACGAAUAUUUUACGUUGCAAAAUAAGAAGAACAAAAGUAAAUUGCAAAUUACAUUGUUAUUUAUUGGAAUAAUUAUUAGUGCCAUUUACUUUCGUACUUCUUAGGUUGCACAGUAAAAUAUUCGUUGUCGAAAUAAUCCAAAACAGGCGUAUGUUCGUGGAAUGGCCCAUAGUAGAUAUCUUUCACUUUUCUAAAUAAAAAAAAUUGGUU